UACAGAGGUCUCAAGCGUUGUUCGGAUUCAUUGGGCGUAAAGGGUGCGUAGGCGGCGCGGUAAGUCGGAUGUGAAAUCUUGGAGCUUAACUCCGAAACUGCAUUCGAUACUGCCGUGCUUGAGGACUGGAGAGGAGACUGGAAUUUACGGUGUAGCGGUGAAAUGCGUAGAUAUCGUAAGGAAGACCAGUGGCGAAGGCGGGUCUCUGGGCCGAUACUGACGCUGAGGAGCGAAAGCGUGGGGAGCGAACAGG
rnacentral:rRNA from 1 species